GCUAUAAGAAGAGGGAGAUUCAGAAGCAGAUGCAGUUGCAGUUGCAGUUGCAGAUGCGGUCCUCCUCCGAUGCGCCUUUGAACAAAGGGGUUUCUUUCGAUUCUUCUCGCAAUUUGUUGGCUGUGGCGGACAAAGACGACGAUAUUAUUUUCUGAAUUCUUGGUUUAAAGAUAUGGUCUUUAGGAUAAGCAAAAACCUAUUGAUGCUGUGAUUGAAGAAAACAGAAAACAACUAAUAGAUGGUCUAAAGGAUGGGAAAUGAGGUUUGUUAACAACGUACUACCCGUAUAUAACUCAUUUCUGUUGAUCAAUCA